AUUGAACGCUGGCGGCAGGCCUAACACAUGCAAGUCGAGCGGAUGAAGGGAGCUUGCUCCUGGAUUCAGCGGCGGACGGGUGGGUAAUGCCUAGGAAUCUGCCUGGUAGUGGGGGAUAACGUCCGGAAACGGGCGCUAAUACCGUAUACGUCCUGAGGGAGAAAGGGGGGGAUCUUCGGACCUCACGCUAUUAGAUGAGCCUAGGUCGGAUUAGCUAGUUGGUGGGGUAAAGGCCUACCAAGGCGACGAUCCGUAACUGGUCUGAGAGGAUGAUCAGGCACACUGGAACUGAGACACGGUCCAGACUCCUACGGGAGGCAGCAGUGGGGAAUAUUGGCCAAUGGGCGAAAGCCUGAUCCAGCCAUGCCGCGUGUGUGAAGAAGGUCUUCGGAUUGUAAAGCACUUUUAGUUGGGAGGAAGGGCAGUAAGUUAAUACCUUGCUGUUUUGACGGUACCAACAGAAUAAGCACCGGCUAACUUCGUG
rnacentral:rRNA from 1 species